UACGUAGGGGGCAAGCGUUGUCCGGAAUCAUUGGGCGUAAAGAGCGCGUAGGCGGCCCGAUAAGUCCGCUGUGAAAGUCAAGGGCUCAACCCUUGAAUGCCGGUGGAUACUGUCGGGCUAGAGUCCGGAAGAGGCGAGUGGAAUUCCUGGUGUAGCGGUGAAAUGCGCAGAUAUCAGGAAGAACACCCGUGGCUAAGGCGGUUCUCUAGUACGGUACUGACGCUGAGACGCGAAAGCGUGGGGAGCGAACAGG
rnacentral:rRNA from 1 species